UACGUAGGGAGCAAGCGUUGUCCGGAAUCAUUGGGCGUAAAGGGCGCGUAGGUGGCCCGGUCAGCGUGCGGUGAAAGCUCGGGGCUCAACCCCGAGUCGGCCGUGCGAACUGCUGGGCUUGAGCACUGUAGAGGCAGGCGGAAUUCCGGGUGUAGCGGUGGAAUGCGUAGAGAUCCGGAAGAACACCGGUGGCGAAGGCGGCCUGCUGGGCAGUGGCUGACACUGAGGCGCGACAGCGUGGGGAGCAAACAGG
rnacentral:rRNA from 1 species